GGCCUGGUGGUCUAGAGGUAUGAUUCCUUCUUAGGGUAUUUGACAACAUGUUGAAGCUUAUGGAGGAGGUCCCGGGUUCAAUUCCCGGCUAGGCCC